GGAUGUAUGUUUUUGGCAGGCCAGGAGUGUUGUGAUUGAUGACAACCUGCACAGUUGGAAUAUCCAAGCCCCUGUUGCAAAGUCAAAGGGUUGUUCCAGUGAGUGAGUGGCUUACCUGCUUCAUCAUUGAGUGGAGGGAGAUUGUGGGGAAGUCAAAUUGCCGAAGCAUCAUGGUGAGGAUUUGACAGCUCCUGCGGCAAAUAAAAAACACAUCUUUUUGUACCAACC